ensembl:lncRNA
CUGUGGGGUCAUGGUUUCUGCCCGUUCUGCUGGUGGGCGUGCUUCCCCUACACUCACGCAGGGUACCUUGUGUCGGAGGCAGGGGAAGAGUCAAGGGUGCACGCAGGAACAGGAGCCCUCAGGGCCGUUCCUCCCAGGCCGUCCGGUGGAGCAUCUGAUGGGAACUGCUUGCAGUCCGUGUGGCCGCACGCAAGGCCCUCGCUUCCUGGACAAAGUGCCUGUGAGCAGCCUUCCAAAGCGCUACUUUCCCAUCACCAGUUUCAGUCACUGCGAAGCGACAUCACGGGAAGUUCGAGGACGCCCCGAUGCUCCUGCCUCUCUCCAUGCACGCCAUCGUCACGUCGUGACGGAGGUGCUGACAACAGGACUCCACCCCUCCCUCCAGAACACCGUGUCCCUCCACAUUUCACUGUGUGGGCACGGAGGCCCCGCAGGUUUGCCCUGGGCCAUGGGACCGCCCAGCUGGGCCCCGUGGGCUCCUGUGUAUGUGAGGGGACCAGGUAAAGGAGGCCACGGUCUCACACCCCAUCAGAGCCCCCUGCAUCGUUCAGGUCACACGACAGCAGGCACAAUUAGGGUCCCUCUUUCCCCUGGAGGAAGCACCGUGCGAGCAGCAAUGUGCCCCUAAUGAGGACAUGGCCCUGACGACGCCAGCACAGACGAGGCCCAUCACCCUGUGGUCCAGCCUUCAUCUCUGCCUCUCCUACUCGAUGGACCACGGUAGAGACAGCAGCUUGAGCAGCCUGGGCAGGAGGAGGAAAGGCGGCUGGAGGACCCGUCAGACAGAUGGGCCCUGGGCUGAAACGUACUUUGGACUCCCGGCUGGAUUAUCAUCUGCAAUUCUAGCUAAACUCUGGCUUAUGCGGUCGGAGGGACUCAGAAUAUAAAUUUAUGGAGAUAAAGUCGCUACCUCCUGGGAUGUCCCCUGAUCCUACAGCCACUCUGAAGCUACCUUUGAAGUAAAGAUGUGGAGUCGUAGGAGAGGUCUCCGUCUCAUUAAGGGAGAGCCGCCUUCUGGGACCUGGACUCAGGCAUGCGACUGCUCUGCUCACACCCUGGACUGGAGUCGGUCUAAAAUCCCAAACCCCACCAUGCAAACAAGCCCCUGUGUGAUCCAGCACUGCUGUCCUCCGACCUUGCCUCCCACCUUCCCGUGAAGGCAUCUCAUAUACUUUCACCAGGAUGGAUGAUGUUGGCAUAGCACCACAAAGCACAGUGAGUGAAAAACGUGAUGGAGGAAACAGACUUCCUCCUCUGAGAUGUAAAUGCACGAGGAAGUAACCUAUGAGAAAUAGGAACGGCUGACUGGGAGAGCCUCACCAAGUGUCCUGCUGACAAGUCUUCUCAAGCUCCAGAUUGUGGGGGCCAGCCGGCUUGCCCAGGGCUGUCCCAGUUCCAGCAUCCAAAGAAACCCCUCGGUCUUGGGCAGACUGAGAUAGCUGGUCACCCUAGAAUCCCCCAUGAGAUCUGAGACACUGCCACCCAUUUCACAGUUGAGGCGGUCAUGAUUGGGAGCUCACGGCAGCUCCUGGAGGUCACACAUGCACCUGGAACAAAAUUUAAACAGUACAGGAGGUGGAUGAAGACCAGCAGAGCCUUCGCUCACCCCAUGCCCUAGCUCAACCCCAGUGCAAGGUUGUAUAUCCUACUGUAAGUCGUUCUAGUUCUUCUACAUGAGCCGCCGCCACAGCGUGGCUACCGACAGAUGGGUGAUGUGGUUCUGCACCCGGGGAUGGAACCCAGGCCUUGGAAUCCCCUGAAGCGAUGAGAGCUGAACUUUAACCCCCAGGCCCUCAGAGCUGGCUCAGGAUUCUUCCUGAUUCGCCUUUUCCUGAGGGAGCAGCCUCCUGUCAGCCUGCCCAGCCGUCUGUCUCAUCACAAAGACCUCACCCUCCAGGGACAGGAGCGCCUGCAGGAGGAGCCCCGUGAGCUGACUCAGCACUCUGAUCUCUUUGGCCACACCCUGCACCAGCGCCCUGAUGUGUUUAAGAGCAAGAGUGGGAUCCAUUGCUUUGCUCUGAUCUCAUUGCUCCGCUUUGAUCUCAUUGCUCCUGUGGGAUGGCAGAGGAACACAAAAACCAAACUGGAACUUAAAGUUACCGUCGCAAGACACAGAAAAAGAAUU